GAUCCUGGCUCAGGACGAACGCUGGCGGCGUGCUUAACACAUGCAAGUCGAACGGAGCACCCUUGAAUGAGGUUUCGGCCAAAGGAAAGGAAUGCUUAGUGGCGGACUGGUGAGUAACGCGUGAGGAACCUGCCUUUCAGAGGGGGACAACAGCUGGAAACGGCUGCUAAUACCGCAUGACGCAUUCGGAUGGCAUCAUCUGAAUGACCAAAGUAUUUAUCGCUAGAAAGAUGG
rnacentral:rRNA from 1 species